rnacentral:rRNA from 1 species
GGCCAGACUCCUACGGGAGGCAGCAGUGGGGAAUAUUGUACAAUGGGGGAAACCCUGAUGCAGCGACGCCGCGUGAGUGAAGAAGUAUUUCGGUAUGUAAAGCUCUAUCAGCAGGGAAGAAAAUGACGGUACCUGACUAAGAGGCCCCGGCUAACUACGUGCCAGCAGCCGCGGUAAUACGUAGGGGGCAAGCGUUAUCCGGAUUUACUGGGUGUAAAGGGAGCGUAGGUGGCAUGGUAAGCCAGAAGUGAAGACCCGGGGCUCAACCCCGCGGAUUGCUUUUGGAACUAUCAGGCUGGAGUGCUGGAGGGGUAAGCGGAAUUCCUAGUGUAGCGGUGAAAUGCGUAGAUAUUAGGAGGAACACCGGUGGCGAAGGCGGCUUACUGGACAGAAACUGACACUGAGGCUCGAAAGCGUGGGGAGCAAACAGGAUUAGAUACCCGAGUAU